CAGCAGCCACGGUAAUACGAAGGGUGCAAGCGUUACUCGGAAUUACUGGGCGUAAAGCGUGCGUAGGUGGUGGUUUAAGUCCGUUGUGAAAGCCCUGGGCUCAACCUGGGAAUUGCAGUGGAUACUGGGUCACUAGAGUGUGGUAGAGGAUAGUGGAAUUUCCGGUGUAGCAGUGAAAUGCGUAGAGAUCGGAAGGAACAUCUGUGGCGAAGGCGACUAUCUGGGCCAACACUGACACUGAGGCACGAAAGCAUGGGGAGCAAACAGGAUUAGAUACCCCAGUAGUCCCUGUCUCUUAUAC
rnacentral:rRNA from 1 species